UGAACAGACCCUGGUGAACCAACAGCCAGACCCUGGAACAGAAACCAGACCCUGGUGAUCGGACCCUGGUGAACAGACCCUGGUGAACAGACCCUGGUGAACCAGACCCUGGUGAACCAGACCCUGGUGAACAGACCCUGGUGAACCAACAGCCAGACCCUUGUGAACCAGACCCUGGUGAACGGACCCUGGUGAACCAACAGCCAGACCCUGGUGAACGGACCCUGGUGAACCAACAGCCAGACCCUGGUGAACAGACCCUGGUGAACAGACCCUGGUGAAACAGCAGCCAGAGCCUGGUGUUCAUCCUUCCAUGUCUGAGGACCAAUGGGGCCAGCCUGCAGUUAAGGCCGCCGCCCUGCCCUCAGGACCAAUCAGAUCAUAGCUGGUGGUGUGUGGGGAAACAAGAGGCAUUAACGGCACAUCACCACCGGCAGUCUCGCUCAGUGGCCUCUACUGGCCUGUGCGGAGCCAUGAGGUGCAUCCAAAAUGGUUCAUCAUCGUCUGCGUCAGCUUCAUCGUCUGCCCCAUCACUUGUCAAGUGGUCCGUUCUGCGAGACCACACUAAAUACUACGCACUGCAUCUUUAAGCUUAAAUUCCACAAGAAAGGAUAUCACAUCCAAUCCUCUCGAAAGUAGGCCUUUGUUUUGCUCCUCUCUUCUCCAACAUCUGCGGGUCAAAGUCUCACAGUACGAUGGAUUGUUUUUAAAUUGGCAGAAGCAGUCGUGUACAGUAGCUGGUAUCACUCAGUCCUAAAGGAACCAUUCCCCAGAGGAACAGAGCGGGUGUUCCACACACAGCAGGGCUUUUGCAACUCACAUGGCUGACGAGAUGAACUGAAACGAAACCACGAUAUAGACAUGUAAAGCAUUGUUUGGUACACGAAGAAACACAUGAAGAAGAAUGCAGGAUACAGAAGAAACAAGUCAACAGACGCAUGUUUACGUUUGAAGUGUUGAGUGUGUGUUUUCUUUCGUUCUCGAGCCGUGGUUUAUUCAUUUAAUAGACACAAGUC
ensembl:lncRNA